UACAGAGGGGGCAAGCGUUGUUCGGAAUUACUGGGCGUAAAGGGCGCGUAGGCGGCCUGUUAAGUCGAACGUGAAAUCCCUGGGCUCAACCCAGGAACUGCGUCCGAUACUGGCAGGCUUGAAUUCGGGAGAGGGAUGCGGAAUUCCAGGUGUAGCGGUGAAAUGCGUAGAUAUCUGGAGGAACACCGGUGGCGAAGGCGGCAUCCUGGACCGAUAUUUGACGCUGAGGCGCGAAAG
rnacentral:rRNA from 1 species